rnacentral:lncRNA from 1 species
AUGAUUGAGGCUGUUCAUCAAGCCAUUUCAUGAUUUUGUCCAACUGAUCCUGGUUUAAAUCAGGGUGAGGCUGACCCUUUAGGUGUAGCACUGGCCCAACAGGGUAAACUGGAGGGAUUCGAUGAUCAUCAGAGAAGGACCUAAGCACAAAAGGCUCCAGCUCAGCAAAUGUGUUCACGAUUAUACCUUUUCCAUCCUUGAACCUUUGAGCAACCUUAACAUAAGCAGCAUAACCACCAUGUUUAUUAAAUACAGCAUCAGGCAAUACUCGUGCUGGAACAGGAUUGAAAAAACCUGGUACUAACGAAUCAGGAUCAGACAUUUGCAUCACCUCGCUGAUUUCAUCAUGGCGUUUGGGUAGGUUUAGCAUAAGACCCAAGAAUCCUGCGUUGGAGGUUACGAAGAUAUAAGGAGGGAGACUGAAUUCAUUUGCAAUGUCAAUCGUGGACACGCAAAAGAAAUCAACAAUAAACCCGGCAACUCGGACAUCGGAGUUAGACAGGGAUGAUAUAAUAUCCAUGACAGUAGUUUUGACAUGGGGUAUGUAACUUUCAACAAAAUCACAGAUAUAAGCUUCCGGGGAUAUCGUUAAAAGCUCUGGUGGGGGAGGAUCCACUUGGGGAAGAUCAACGAGUUUGAUGCGGGGCUGUGAUGCAGCGAGUGAUCUGGUGUAUGAAUUAAUAGAUGGCAUAAAGGGAACGUUCAUAACAAGUGCUGUGAUUGAUAAUCGAUCAUCAUGGUCGAGCAGGCGCUUAGCUAAUUCAAGGCCUGAUGCUAAGUGACCGAUACCGGGGCCUGGAACAAAAAUCAGCUCUUCUUUCUUCAUCGCUUCUUCUAUGAUCUUCCUUUCUACCUCUUUCUCCUUUUCGUUUAUCUACUUAAUUACUCCUAGUCUCCCCACAAAUAAAGGGUCGACGCCUUAUUUCCUCUGGCCCGAACAUCAACGGAAAAUGAAUUGUUUUUAUUAUUAUUAUUAUUAUUAUUUUUUUUAUCGAAGAGGACGCAACACCCACUAAUUGUUUGCCAGCUCGCAAGGUAUUUUCUCUAGCUCUGGGCCGAUUCAUUUAUAAGAUAUUGUGGAAUCGAGGUUUCUCAAUUUUGAUUAUUAGUGAUUUGGUAAAAUUGCUUAUUUUAUUUAAAAUUAGGUGGUUGGUGUGAUAUGAUAUAAGUUAGCUUAUUUUUUUAUCAUUAAAAAAAUAUCAAGAGAACAUAAGUGUUUUAUAAAAAAAAUAAUUCAUAUCAUUAACUUGAUUGAGUUUACAUCAUAUGAUUUCUAUAACAUGAAAUAAAAAAUACAACCACAAUAAAAUAAGCCAACAAAAAAAAUUGACACAAAAAAAAAGAUUGAAAAAAUUAUCAGAGACUAAUUGGGUUAGCAUGUUAAAUAUACAACCUAAUUGUGCUAUUAUGGUAACCCUGUCAAAAGCAAGUUGAAUAAAACAAUGAUGUUCAAUUAUCAAAAAAAUUAAUGUAAAAACAUUAAAGGCACAUAAGCAAUAACUAAAAUAAUGAGGUCUAAAUUGAUACAAAAAUAAAAUAAAACCAAUUGAUGAGGAACUAAAUUAAAAAAAAAAUAUUUAAAAAAGAAAAAUAAGAAAUCCAACAUGAAAUCAAAUGAAUAAGGACUAAAUUCGAUAUGAAAAGCCACCUUUAUAUUUUACCAAGGAGAAGAGAUAAGAGAGAAAGGAGGGGGGGUGGAGUUCACUAGAGCCACAUCGUACAUCCUUCGCCAACACACACCCAUCCACCAUAAAGAUCUCAAUAAGUUGCUCCCAACACCACUAUCGAUGGAGGUGUUUGUCCGUUGAAGAAGCAUGUGUUGCACAUGCUUUUUCUACUCGCUGACGCGUGUGUUGCACGUGCAUAAAACUUUUACAUUUUUAUUUUAAUUUCUCAAAAUACCAUAUUGCCCCUUACCUAACAUAAUAUGAAUGAAACAACCAACAUGAAAAGACCAAAAAGCUCUUUAAUGCAAGUUAUAUAUUUUUUAUUUGUAAGGGCACUUUAGCAAUUGCAUUGUGCUUUGAAUAGAAAAAACUAAAAAUACCAUUGACCAAAAGUUUAGAAAAUUUAAUAUUUAAAGGUAUUUUAGACAAUACUGACACGAUCAAAAGAUUGAUGUCUUCUCCUAAGUGCAGGAGUGUCGAAGUAAUAAAUAACCUGACAAGACCGGGGUUAAACCACAAGAAGAUUACUAUAUAAAUUAUAAAUUAUAAAUAAUAACGGCGACGCCGACGACUUUGAGAUGUAAGAUUAAUGUGAAAAUUAAACAAGGAUAAAAUAAUUGUCAAGGUUAGAUGAUCCACUAAUAGUAUUAGAAAUAAGGAUGAUUGAUUCAAUUUUGUCGACCAAUGACAAAUUCAAAGCUUGAUAGUAGAAGGAUUAAUGCGGAAAAGACAUAAAAAAAUGGAUGGUAGGUUCAAAGAAAUCAAGAAAAGUCAAAUGAUUAUUCUUGUUAUCCACGAGUUUCAUGAAACGAAAGGAAUCUUACGUUGAUUGUUUAAAGUUACAAAGUUGCCUAAAAAAACAUCUAAAUCAAAGAUGACAUGUCUAACCCAGUUUGAUUUUAGGUUUUUAGAUUGUUUUAUGAGUUUUUUUAUUGAUGAAUUGAUUUCUAGUUAUCUAAGGGUGUUGGUAGGGUUUUUUAGGUUGAAAUGUCUUAAGAAUAAGGUUUCUAGAGUAAACAACUCACUACUCUAAUUUUCUGGACAUCAUAAUAGUGGCUAGAAUUUGAGUUAUCACAUGCCAUAUUUUUCUUGUAAUUAUGAAACGACCAAGCUUGUGUGUGGUUUUGCGAUGGUUUUAAAAAGGAAAGGAAACGCUUAAACACAAGAGUAAGGAGAGAUAAAGGGGGAAACUAGAGAAAUCAAGGAAAUAAGAAGAAGGAUGGUGACAAUUUCGAUUGGUUGCAUUUCAAAGCUCUCAUAAUUACUUGGUAGGGUGAUAAUAACCUAAUCAUAUAGGUUUGAGUAGCAUUGAAAUGAUUUAGGAGAAAAUUAAGAAAACUUCAGUUGGGGUUCUUGGAAAAAAAAUAGGAAAAAUGUAAAAUUGAUGGAAAUUGAAGAGAGAAUUUGAAAAAUUAAGGGUUAUAUAGCCAAGCAAUAAAGAAAAAAAAAGAGAGAGGAUAUUAAAUUGUUAGUUUAAAUGUGUAAUUAUUAUGAUCAUGUCUAGAGAUGAAAACAUUGCUUUAUUAAAUUUAAUUGAGAUAUUAGUAUGUGUUGGAAUUGAGAUUUUCUUGAGAAAGUUGAGGGUUAAAUGCAUGGUUGUAAAUGUAAAUGAAAUUAUAUGUGUUAGUAUUAAGCGAAAAGUGGAUUGAUUAAGUAUAGAUAAUUCAUUAUGGAAGAUGCAUUGAUGAAUGUUGAUUCUCCUUGUUGAAAUCCGGAGUUGUAUUAGGAGUGGGUCAAUCAGUGGAGGGAGUAAGGACUAUUGGAUGAGCAAAUGGGUGCCUGUCACCUUGUUCCAUUUAAAAUUUAAGUAUUGUCUUUAGUUUUAUCUUAUUUUCCUUAAUGGAUAAUAGUGAAAAUGGUGUUGGAAAUAAAAAUGUCGUGAAUCAACUUACAAAAAAGAGAAUUAUAUAUGAUUCAAUUUAAAUAGAAGUUGAUGAUCUAGUAGAAAAGAGAGGGGGAUUCAAUUCAAAUCAAAUAGAAUUAUUCAGUUUUUUAAAAUUUAAAAACAUUGACAGACUCGAAGAAUGUUCGAUACUUAAUAUGUCGUGAUAAUAAUAGCUAAGGAAAUGAUCAUUGAUGUUGAUAUAUAAUGUUAAUAGAUUAAAAAGAUGCUUGAUCUUUAGUAUGUUGUGAUGAUGGUAUUUAAGGAGAUGAUUAUUGAUGUUGGUUGAUAAUAUUGAUGGACUUGAAGGAUGUUCGACAUUCAAUGUGUCGUGAUAACGAUAGCUAAGAAAAUGAUUAUUAAUGUUGGUCGAUAAUGUUGAAGGACUCGAAGGAUGUUUGAUACUUAGUAUGACAUUAUAACAGUAGCUAAGAUAAUGAUUCAUGAUGUUGAUCAAUAAUAUUGAUGAACUCAAAUGAUGUCUGAUACUUAGUAUAUUGCAAUGACAGUAGCUAAGGAAACUGUUAUCGAUAUUGAUUGAUAAAAAAAUUGAUGGAUAUUACAAAUAAAAUAAAAGGAAUUGUUCUGAUAUUUAAUGAUCAUGUUGAUUGUGUCUAGAAAAACACGUAGAAAGUUUGUUGAGUUAAUUUAGAUUAUGAUUGUCAUGAAAAAUAAAUGAAUUAGUCGUUUGUAUUGACUACAACUAAGGGGUUGGGUGUAAAUUGAAUUGCUCUUCCCAAAUAUUACUUUUGGAUAUGUUUUUGAAAACUAGAUACAUGGUUUAUAUUGUGAGAUUAAAUUUUUUAAUUUACAUUUAUUUUUUGAUUUUUUCAUGUUAGUAUUUACUUAUAUUAACGAUUUUUUUUAUAAUAUUUAUUAAUACGGAUAAUUAUUGAUUUAUUUAAGUAGAUGCAUGUAUAAGUUUUUUAUUUUUUAUUGAGAAUUUUUUUAAUUAUAGAAAAAAACACAUAAGAAAAGCCUGCAUCUAGGGUUCUUGACGCCCUUUGAGAUAAAUAUGAUAUGGGAUAAGUAGUCUCUAGCCAUCUUGCUUCGAAAACUCAUCUGUAUAAUUUGAUGAUUUUCGGAGACGAGAAAUUAACUUAACUUAAUUCUCCCUUUUCUCAUUUUAGUUUCCUCUCAGGCACGACGAACAUUCAGUAUUUCAAAACUCAUGCCCUCGGUAAACUUCGCCUAGCUAGGACAGUAGCAGUACUAUAAUUAACUGGAAUUUAUACAUGACACGAAUCUGGAGUGGUUAUAACUAGAAUUUUAUUUGAAACUGGGUCAUGAUAUUGUUCAGGAAUGGAGCAUUCUCUCUUAAUGCGACAAGAAAAUACAUGCUUGUAAAGGUUUGAGCUUCUAAAUAAUAAGAGAUCUAUGAUUUUUUCUGGUUUUUAAGUGAUAAAAUUCUUAAAAGUAAUGUCAUCUCAUCGAUCUAGUUAACACCGAGUCAUCCAUGCUAGCUAGAACUAGAGAUUUUAAUUUCGGAGGGAGAAAAGAGAUCGUAAAUUUAAAGUUAACAUUUUUCCUACUGUUAAAACUAUUGAUAAAUUCAUUACCAGUUGUUAAUUAAAAGCUCGUUUAUCUACACAGCGAACCGUAUUUCAAACCGUGAUUUGCCUCAUAAAAAGCAUCACAUGUGCUUGGAACAUGGUGCAAACUGUGUUUAUUUAAAUUUUAAAUUUUUUAUUUAUUUAAAAUAAUUUUUUUUAUGUAUUUAGAUUGUUUUGAUGUGCUGCUGUCAAAAAUAAUUUUUUAAAAAUAAAAAAAUACUACUUUUAUAUAUUUCAAAUGAUUUUUACACGAUCGGCCAUAGUUUUAAACGAAACGCGGUUGGCACCGUAGAUAAUAAUCAAAAUAAAAUCUCAUAAUUGAUACAUAAUGAUGAAUAUUGUUAUAAUUUAAUUUUUAAUUUUUUAAAAUAUUUUCAUAAUACAAAAAAAUUAAAAAUAUAUUUUUAAUGUAUUUUUAACAUUUUCAACAUCUUCUCAAAAGAAAUCAAAAUUCAAAUUAACUUUUCAAGGCGUUGAGUUUUUAAAGGCGUCAUCCUCAAAAUCAUUGAAUAAUUUUAUUGAGUUGUUGUUGAAGUUGUCUUUUUUAAAAAAUAUCAAAACACAAAAAUAUAAGAAAAAAGAUACAAAACAAAAAAAUGUUUGGGCAAACGGAACAAAAAUGCAAAAAAAUAAUAAUAAGGGAUCAAAGUUUUUUUAGUUGCUUGGGGACUAAGCAAUUGGGAGGAAAAUGAUAAAUUAAUUUAUAUAUAAAUAGGUGGUUGUAGCACAUAAAAAAAAGAAGAAGACCGGAAAGUAAAGGAAAGAAAGAAAAACAAAAGGUUAUUCCCACAUUCUCUCCUUACACACACACACACAAAAAAACCCUAGCCCCAUCUUUACAAACACAACCGCCAACGAUACAAGAAAAAAGAGCCCCCAGCUUUAACCUUCAUCUUCCACCUGUUACAGUUCCUUCGACAAAACCUCCUCUCUGCAUCUUCUUUCCUAAGACAACUAUUCCAAACGCCCCACCAUCAUUUUCUGAUCCAGACACUUCAUUUCUUUCUCUAGCUAGCAACCUCAAUAACACAAAAGAAACAACACCUCAUUAUCACCAUUAAAGGCCUCAUCUUUGGUCGGUCUCUUCUCCUCCAACCAUAAAGAUAGUAGCAACAAUUUCUUCAACUUGCCAUCAACACUAAUAAACCAAGACAACAACUCCACCAACCUUCAAAUAGUAACUAAACACCCAAACCAACCUUUUUAUACCCUUAAUGCCACUCAUUAUUUGACCACCAUCAACCACAAUCAUCCCCUCCAACUAACACCUCUACAUUGUUUCUACACCUUGAAUCUCCUCUCAUCACAACCAUCUAUAUGCUAGCCUCACACAUGAUAGCUCCUCCACAUCUCAACCCAUAACCCUAACUCCUCAAAAAAAACUUAAUGGUUUAGUCAACCUUGAAAAUCAGACCCUUUCACAAUCAAACACCCUAGCAUCGGGCCUGAAAUCAACUCAACCUUUGGGCGACCCACUAGUAGCAUUGUUGUCACCAUCAGAAGUACCUUUUGUCGCUAGCAGAAGCGGUCGACAUCCUUUCAACCAUAACAACAAUCGCAUGAGGAGAAAGAAAAGAUAAGAGGACAAAAGCUUUGGAAGGCUAGAUCUAUUUCCUCAAAGAGUGUGAAGGAGCACUGCUAGUGUAGGAGAAAAGAGGAGGCAGGUGAGCACCCGAUCCACCAACCAUGCUUGUCCAGUAACGGCAACGCGUGAAUCCACGUUCUAGUAGUGGCAGUGGCACUUGGUACAUGACAUGAUCAAAAGAUUGAUAUCUUAUCCCAAGUGCAAGAGUGUCGAAGUAAAAAAUAACCCGGCAAGACCGAGAUCGAACCACAUGGAAGUUAACUAUAUAAAUUAAAUAUUUUAACAACAAUAACAACAAUAAGUUAAAGAGGACUUUGAAAUGUAAGAUUAAUAUGAGGAUUAAUCAAAGAUAAAAUCAAUUGUCAAUGUUAGAUGAUCCACUAAUAGUAUUAGAAAUAAGUAUAGUAUAAACUUUUUUUUAUUAAUCAACUGAAAACCACAUACAAAGGAGAUUCCAAACGGAUGAUUUAUCCUUAAUAGUUCAUUAUAAAUUUUUAACAUGAUCAUAUUAAUUAUCUUAUUUAAGUAACACCAAAUUUUUAAAUAUUGUCAGGAAUUCAUGAUGUUAACUUAUUUUAACAAUAAAUCAAGUUCCUUUCAUAGCACAAGUGUAGGUUAUACCAUACGGUUGGUUAUGAAAGUGCCAAGCAUUUGUUAUACCAAAUGUUAUAUAACACAAAUUUAGAUUAAUGAUUUAAUAAGCAAGGUAUUAAGAAUUAGUAAGGUAAAAAGAUAAGACAUGUUAAUAACAAAAUUUCUUGGAUAUAAACAUUGAAGUCCAUGUUGAGUUUAUAUUAUUCCUAUUAUAACACCAUUAGUGAAACCUUUUCACCUUGAUGUAAUAAACUUAGCUAAAUAUAAUGAAGAACAUAAAUAUAAAUAAACAACAUAAGAACAUAAGUAUAGUAAAGGAAAUGAAAAGCAUAAACAAGAGAUUAAGAAAAAUAUAACAUGAAAUAAAACUUAAACAUUACAAAAAUAUAAAGAAAGAAAUAAAAAGCAUGAUCUUGAUCUGGAAACCAAGAUGUCUAAAUGCAUGGCAAAUGCCUCCUUUUAUAUGCCAAAAUUUAGAACUAUUGAUUUGAUGACUAAUUGUUAAGUGGAUGGCCACAUCUUCACUUGGUGACAGUCUUUAUCUUCUUGUCUGAAUAAAACAUCAUUGAUAACGACUGAAUUUGAACCACCUGUACCAUGAAAGUUCUAGGAAAUUGUCUCAUCUUUCUAGGAAAAAAAAUUGAGGUCAUUUGGACUUUUAGAACUCAAAAUAUGGGCUGAACACUGAAUAGUGUCUGGGCUGCAGGACAGAUUCAGACUUCUCCGUUGUUGCUAUAAUUUGGACUUGAAAAUGAUCUUUUUAAAUCUUGAACUCCAUAUGAAAGUUUUAGGCCUAUGUGUUAUCUUUCCAUCCAUAUAAAGCAGACCUAAAUCUGAGAUCUACAACUCUAGAUAUAACUUAAUUACCGAAUAAUGUUCUAGUUUGGACUGAACCACCAUAUCUUUUCUAAGUUUGGCCAUCUCUUUGUCCUUUCAAUUUCAGUACUUAAACUCUUUAAUCAACUCUUUCAUUUAUGUGAUAGGCAUGCAUUUAAGAUGAAUAUUUAUCAUAAAUUAAAAGUAUCUUAUAUUAUUAAAUAUAUUAUUAUAAAACAUGCUUUAGUUUAGGAGUUAUUGAUACUUCAAGUGCAAAAUGAUGAUAUAAAAUCUUAAUAAAAAUACACUUUUAAGUAGUAAUCAAAUACAUUAUGCAAAUUAAAAGUAAAAGUACUAUUCUAGCCCCUUCCAACCUUGCAAUGACAAAUUGAUCUCGUUGAAAAGAUAUUUUUGCCUCUGAAAGUAAGUUACAUGGGUUUCAAUGUGAAGGGUAAAAUGGUCUUUCACUAUGCAAAUCUAUAGUGAAAUGUGGACCGUCCACAAUAUUUAUACUAUCUCCUUUUGUUUUGUUAAUGGAUUCACUCAUUUUGUUGAAAAAUAUUCUUUAAUAAAAAUUCAUUAACAUGAAACAUUAAUAAGAUUAAAAUAAAUUAUGGAUGAAUAAUAAAUUGACUUUAAAGAAGCAUUAGCAUGUAUAUUUUUUUAUGAAACCCAAGAUCCUCUAUUCAUGUUUUUAAAACUCAGACUAACCAAGCAAGUCAAUCUGGAACUUUGCCGACCCAAACCCUAGAUCGGUCCAUAUUUUUCCUGCCAUCUUUGUUAUAAUUCUCAUGUGCUAGUGCUUGAUCAAGAAGUAACCCAAACAAAAUUCUAUUACAGAAAUUUUGCAUUUUUAUUUUAAUUCAUAACUGCAUGAAGUGGAUAUCUCAUGAUUCAAAACUAACUCCUGUGACAAUGAGCUCAAAACUUCUCUCAUCAUAGCAGUGACCACUCUGCUUGCAUUGCAACUCAGAAUACAAAGUCAAAAGCAUCUCCUUUGACUCGUUAUAUUUCUCUAGGAUUUUAAAAUUAUGUUUAAUGAUUAUCGCACACAACUAUAAUCUUAAGAACUAUCAUGUCCAAUGUUGAAUCACACAAAGCCAACAGGACAAAUGAUGCAACAAAGUGGAUCCAUUUAAUCGGUUAACAGUCUUUAAUUCCCGGAUUGUUCAAUUUAGUUUUUAAUUAACUCUUCAAUUUUUAUAACUUUUAUAGGCAAUAAAAUUAUAAUUAUUCUUGAUAGAGUACAAGGAGAAAUAAAUUAUAAUUUAAAUCAUUUUAAUAUGUUAAUAAAAAAAUAAUUUUUUAUAUAAAAUAAAAAAUAUUUUAAAAAGUAAACAUUUUAAAAGACUGGUUCACUUAAGUCUUUGGACUGGCUCGCCUUUUUCUAACUGGCCGACGGACCCGUACUUAUCCAAACAGCUCGGCAAACAAGACCACGUCCAUGGUGUCACGUUGUCAAGAUAGGGUGAACAGUAAACAGAGAAUCCUAGAGCCCUUUUUCCUUCUGAACAAAAAUUCUAGAGCUCACUCCUCGAAUGCCAAACAACAAACACAGAGAGCUUGCUAGUCUUGCAGAAUCAAAGAUUAAUGGGAAAAAAAAAGACUUGCAAAAAUGACUUGGAGGUCCAUAUGACAGAAAUAUAUAAGACAGCAACUCUGCAAUCCUAUCCUUGUAAAGACUGCAUGAUGAAAUUUGAAGACUUCAAAUCUGAUAUAUUUGUUUCUGCAAAAGGAGCUAUAACUGGACUCUGUAACAAUAUCGAAGAUCAAGUUGAGAAAACAUCACACACCUUGGAAACUAGAAGAACAACUAGAGAGAUUCAUGAGACAGCAAAAUGAAAGGCUGAUAUAUGGAAAACAUUGCUAACGUUUUACAUCCAGGAAUACCUUAUUUUUCACACACAAUUUCUUCAACUACAAUGGAAAUCAACCCUUGCUAGCAGGCGGUAUUCAUAUCAGUUGUUUCCUGUUAUAUCCUGGAUGAGUUGUGUGAUGGAAGUGAAAGAAGAUCCACCAUCCAUCACAGCCUUCCUGCCUUUCUCGCUCAUUUCUUUCACCUUCUUCCUCACCUCACUAUCACUUUGCAUAACACAUAUUACAGAGUUUGCUAUCUCAUCUGCCGUCACAAGAUCACCACCUACCCUGUAAUCCAGUUUCAGCUCCACUGACAGUCCCAAUUCCUUCACCAUCCUAAAAGCAUUAAGCUGCUGUUCAGCAUAUAUAGGAAAUGUAACGAUAGGAACACCGUACCACAAGCUCUCCAAGAUGGAGUUCCACCCACAAUGAGACACGAACCCUCCUAUUGCCUUGUGAGCUAGGACUUCAACCUGCGGUGCCCAUCCACACAUAAUCCCUCGUCCUUCUAUGCGUUCCAAGAAUCCUUCUGGUAACACAUCUUCAGGAUUCGUGAACUGAUUAGACGGAGAGCCUGGAAAACGCAUGGACCACAAGAAUUUGAUCCCACUUUGCUCGAUGCCAAGUGCUAUUUCUUUCACUUGUGGGGGGCUAAAGCUCCCAAAGCUUCCGAAGCAUAGAAACACCACAGAUGAUUGAGGCUGUUCAUCAAGCCAUUUCAUGAUUUUGUCCAACCGAUCCUGGUUUAUUUCAGGGUGAGGCUGACCCUUUAGGUGGAGCACUGGCCCAACAGGGUAAACUGGAGGGAUUCGCUGAUCAUCAGAGAAGGACCUAAGCGCAAAAGGCUCCAGCUCAGCAAACGUGUUCACGAUUAUACCUUUUCCAUCCUUGAACCUUUGAGCAACCUUAACAU